GACGAACGCUGGCGGCGUGCUUAACACAUGCAAGUCGAACGGAGUGGCGAACGGGUGAGUAACACGUGGGUGAUCUGCCUUGCACUUCGGGAUAAGCUUGGGAAACUGGGUCCAAUACCGGAUAGUGCAAGAUGAGCACGCGGACUAUCAGCUUGUUGGUGGGGUAAUGGCCUACGCAGGCGUCGACGGGUAGCCGGCCUGAGAGGGUGUACGGCCACAUUGGGCCUGAGAUACGGCCCAGUCUCCGACGGGAGGCAGCAGUGGGGAAUAUUACACAAUGGUCGGAAGCCUGAUGCAGCGACGCCGGGUGGGGGAUGAAGGCCUUCGGGUUGUAAACUCCUUUCGACAGGGACGCGGUACCUGUAUAAGAAGCACCGGCUAACUACGUGCCAGCAGCCGCGGUAAUUC
rnacentral:rRNA from 1 species